UUGACUCAGUGCUCUAUGCAGGC
rnacentral:piRNA from 1 species